rnacentral:lncRNA from 1 species
ACACUUAAUACUGUAUGUUACUUUUUACCGGAAUGUGAGUCAUCUACCCAAGUUCAAAGAGUUGAACCAACUUUUAUAGAGUUGGAUGGGAGUAGAAGAGGAAAGAAGAGACCUCAACUCUUAAAGGAAAAAAAAAAUGACAUGACCUUGAGCAAAUAAUUUAGCUUCUCUGUUGUAUAUUUGUAAAAGGAGAGUAUUAAAUUAGACCUAUAGAAUUCUUUUCAGCUCUUAGCUUUCUAUCUAAUUCAGUCUCCCCACUAAUUUUCAAUGACAGAAAGA